rnacentral:rRNA from 1 species
GAUGAACGCUGGCGGCGUGCCUAAUACAUGCAAGUCGAGCGAACAGACGAGGAGCUUGCUCCUUUGACGUUAGCGGCGGACGGGUGAGUAACACGUGGAUAACCUACCUAUAAGACUGGGAUAACUUCGGGAAACCGGAGCUAAUACCGGAUAACAUGUUGAACCGCAUGGUUCAACAGUGAAAGACGGUCUUGCUGUCACUUAUAGAUGGAUCCGCGCCGCAUUAGCUAGUUGGUAAGGUAACGGCUUACCAAGGCAACGAUGCGUAGCCGACCUGAGAGGGUGAUAGGCCACACUGGAACUGAGACACGGUCAAGACUCCUAAGGGAGGCAGCAGUAGGGAAUCUGCCGCAAUGGGCGAAAGCCUGACGGAGCAACGCCGCGUGAGUGAAGAAGGUCUUCGGAUCGUAAAACUCUGUUAUUAGGGAAGAACAAAUGUGUAAGUAACUAUGCACGUCUUGACGGUACCUAAUCAGAAAGCCACGGCUAACUACGUG